CUAGUGGCACAGCUAGCACUGCGAUGCAGUGCCUUAGACUACUGCGCCACUUCAACAAUGAUCCAUCUCAAGCAUAGUCUUGACUAAAUAUGAAAAGGUGUUUAUCUUUUAAAGUUCUAGCGUUCACCUCUCAUAAUAAACAGUUGUAGAUAGAGCCAAUCGACCAGCCUAGGCAAAAGGAUAUACUAAUAAUAAAUUGAUGGCCCAUUCACUGUACAUCCUGUUGACACUUGAUAAUAGGGGAGUACAUUUCCUUUCUCAAACCCCCCCAUAGUUACACUACAGUACAAUUUGAGGUUUAUGAGAAAACAUUUGGAAGGACAAAUUCUCAGGGCAGUAAAUAAAAAUCAAAUAAAACUUUGAGUAAAAAAAUGUUAAACCUUGCUGAAAUAUAAUGAGAAAUCCUUGAUAAAUGUGACCUGUACUAGUGGCAAGUGCUUAAACUAAAAUGUUGGGGUAAUUAUUUAGGCCCACAAUGGUCUCGUGUAAGACAUUUGUAUGUUCAUGUUUGCCUAUGUUAAGGACGCCACGCUGCUUUCUUAGUAAGUACCGGUUCCUCGUGAUUCGGCUCGCAGCACUGAGCUCGAACUCAGAACCUAUACCUGGCUAGCACACGUGACCGCCCUCAUUGACAACGUACCAACCGUUUGAGCUAUGGGAAAAUAUAUAAUUCGAUAACUCCAUCUGCGACAUUUCAAGCUAGCUGUGGCAUGAGUUUAUGUUGCUAGAGGGAAGUGGACUGUGAUGAGGGGAUGCAGAGGAUUGCUUCUUAGGGGGCUUUUCUGGACCAUUGCUGAGGUGUACUGGCGCUUUUACAGUCACUGAAGCAUCACCCAGGUGGGUGCUACAUUUCAGUAGUUGACGAUCCAGCCUACCUACGGAGGAGCUGCUGUGACUAACGAAGACAACGAGGUACCCGAUGAGCUCCGGUGCCUGUCUGUCAGAUGUCUCUACCUCUCUGCCUGGCUGUACCAUCUAUGGUCCCUCCUCUCAAGAUACUACCUUUCUCAACUGCUUAUUAUUUAAAGCUGUGCAACACCAUCACCCAAUAACUGCCAGAUCCCUACAUUUGUGUUGUUAAAUUGUUUUUGUUUAUUUUGUUUUUAAAGCGACUUUGAGAUUCUACUUGUAAUGAAAAGUGCUAUAUAAAAUACAUCUAUUAUUAUUUAUUAUUAAAGUCUUUUAGAAAAUAUAAGGUUAUGGCCUAAACCAGGGACCUUUAUCAUUGUAAUUGAGUUUAGGUUAGGAUAUUGAAAUAUUUUCCCUAUUCCAGUCAUAAAAAACAAAUGGUGGUAACCUGUGAAAGAAUUGCUAGACUAAUUCAAAGAUUCUCUGCACUGAUGUUAAUUCAUAAAUGACACUAGAUGGCAGUAAGUAGGCCUAUAAGAGAACAGAAUCAUUGCAUUGCAUUGGGUAGGUUUGUGGCCUUUCCAAUGUAAGUAUUUUAUAGUUCUGUCUCAAAUGGUGAUCAGGACUGUGUAUUAUGAUGUAGUAAUUGUUAGUGAAAUUGUGUGCACAGGUAUUUGGUUUUAAUGUUUCUCCCCUUAUGAAUAAACAUACAACCAUU